UCCCUAAUGGCUCAGAUGGUAAAGAAUCUGCCUGCAGCGCAGGAGACCUGGGUUCAAUCCCUGGGUCGGGAA
rfam:Ovis aries breed Texel chromosome 4, whole genome shotgun sequence.